CGCAUCUUGCGCUCCUUGGUAUUCCGAGGAGCAUGCCUGUUUGAGUGUCAUGAUACUCUCAACCCCCCAAGUUUUGUAAUGAGACUUUGGAGGGGAUUGGAUCCUGGGUGCUGCCGGCUUCCGAGUCAUGGCUCACCUGAAAUGCAUGAGCGAUCACGCACCCGGCGUUGGUUCGACUUGACGUGAUAGGACAAAAUUCCGUCAAGGACAUCUCAUUGUGAGGUGACCACGCUUGGUGCCAGAACGCUUACAAACCCCUACUACAUACAUCAUGAUUCGACCUCAAAUCAGGUAGGACUACCCGCUGAACUUAA
rnacentral:misc_RNA from 1 species